CUCAGUUCGGAUUGCAGGCUGCAACUCGCCUGCAUGAAGUCGGAAUUGCUAGUAAUCGCGGAUCAGCAUGCCGCGGUGGAUACGUUCCCGGGCCUUGUACACACCGCCCGUCACACCAUGGGAGUUUGUAACGCCCAAAGUCGGUGGCCUAACCUUUAUGGAGGGAGCCGCCUAAGGCGGGACAGAUGACUGGGGUGAAGUCGUAACAAGGUAUC
rnacentral:rRNA from 1 species